rnacentral:rRNA from 1 species
UACGAAGGGGGCUAGCGUUGCUCGGAAUUACUGGGCGUAAAGCGCACGUAGGCGGCUUUCUAAGUCGGGGGUGAAAUCCUGGAGCUCAACUCCAGAACUGCCUUCGAUACUGGAAAGCUCGAGUCCGGGAGAGGUGAGUGGAACUGCGAGUGUAGAGGUGAAAUUCGUAGAUAUUCGCAAGAACACCAGCGGCGAAGGCGGCUCACUGGCCCGGUACUGACGCUGAGGUGCGAAAGCGUGGGGAGCGAACAGG